UACGUAGGGGGCUAGCGUUGUCCGGAAUCAUUGGGCGUAAAGCGCGUGUAGGCGGCCCGGUAAGUCCGCUGUGAAAGUCCAGGGCUCAACCCUGGGAUGCCGGUGGAUACUGUCGGGCUCGAGUCCGGAAGAGGCGAGUGGAAUUCCAGGUGUAGCGGUGAAAUGCGUAGAUAUCUGGAGGAACACCGGUGGCGAAGGCGGCAUCCUGGACCGGUAUUGACGCUGAGGCGCGAAAGCUAGGGGAGCAAACGGG
rnacentral:rRNA from 1 species